rnacentral:lncRNA from 12 species
AAUUAAGGGAGCUCAUCAGAGAAUUCAGCUGUGCUGAAGAGCUCAAACUCUUCAGUGUCAAUGAGGCUUGAUGUUUUUGAGGUUGUUGUUAUUAAUCAAUAUUGCACAGCUUCCCAGAGUUGUCUUUAGAAACUUUUGAAUUUCUUGCAGGAAAUAGUUUCAAACCUACUGGGUGAAUGACUGCUCAAGAGAAGAAUAUUACAGUUGUGAGAGAUGAGGUAAUAUUUUUCUGCAGCAAAGAGGUUUUUAGUGCAACCCUAAGUCAUAUCAGAGAGGGGAUGGAGACAUCUGGAAAAGGGGCAAGAUGGGAAUUAUCUCCUGAGGGAAUUCCAUGCUCACCAAGUGUCUAGUAGCCUCUGAACUGGUGCAGCAUCCUUCCUCUGCAGCAAUGAGAG